rnacentral:tRNA from 1 species
GGGGGCGAAGGGGGCCCGGUGGCUCUCGCGGUCUUCAAAACCGUUGCGGGGCGAUGGCAUCGUCCUGGGUGGGUUCGACUCCCAUGCGCCUCCGCCA